GACGAACGCUGGCGGCGUGCUUAACACAUGCAAGUCGAGCGGUAAGGCCUUUCGGGGUACACGAGCGGCGAACGGGUGAGUAACACGUGGGUGAUCUGCCCUGCACUUCGGGAUAAGCCUGGGAAACUGGGUCUAAUACCGGAUAUGACCUCCUAUCGCAUGGGGGGUGGUGGAAAGAUUUAUCGGUGCAGGAUGGGCCCGCGGCCUAUCAGCUUGUUGGUGGGGUAAUGGCCUACCAAGGCGACGACGGGUAGCCGACCUGAGAGGGUGACCGGCCACACUGGGACUGAGAGAGGGCCCAGACUCCUACGGGAGGCAGCAGUGGGGAAUAUUGCACAAUGGGCGAAAGCCUGAUGCAGCGACGCCGCGUGAGGGAUGAAGGCCUUCGGGUUGUAAACCUCUUUCAGCAGGGACGAAGCGCAAGUGACGGUACCUGCAGAAGAAGCACCGGCUAACUACGUG
rnacentral:rRNA from 1 species